GGCGCUAUGGUGUAGCGGUAGCACACGGGAUUCUGAUGCAGUUAGCGUUGAAGUUGUUCCCGUAACCCAGGUUCGAUCCCUGGUAGUGCCU